rnacentral:rRNA from 1 species
CAGUCGCCGCGGUAAUACGUAGGGUGCAAGCGUUAAUCGGAAUUACUGGGCGCAAAGCGUGCGCAGGCGGUUAUAUAAGUCAGAUGUGAAAUCCCCGGGCUCAACCUGGGAACUGCAUUUGAGACUGUAUGGCUAGAGUGUGUCAGAGGGAGGUAGAAUCCCACGUGUAGCAGUGAAAUGCGUAGAUAUGUGGAGGAAUACCGAUGGCGAAGGCAGCCCCCUGGGAUAACACUGACGCUUAUGCACGAAAGCGUGGGGAGCAAACAGGAUUAGAUACCCCAGUAGUCCCUGUCUCUUAUAC